GGGUGUAUAGCUUAGUUGGUAGAGAGUGGGCUUUUCGGGUACUUAAUGGUUACAGGUUCAAGCCCUGCUAUACCCA
rnacentral:tRNA from 1 species